rnacentral:rRNA from 1 species
UACGAAGGGGGCUAGCGUUGCUCGGAAUCACUGGGCGUAAAGCGCACGUAGGCGGACUCUUAAGUCGGUGGUGAAAUCCUGGAGCUCAACUCCAGAACUGCCUUCGAUACUGGGAGUCUCGAGUCCGGGAGAGGUGAGUGGAACUGCGAGUGUAGAGGUGAAAUUCGUAGAUAUUCGCAGGAACACCAGUGGCGAAGGCGGCUUCCUGGACUAAUACUGACGCUGAGGUGCGAAAGCGUGGGGAGCAAACAGG